rnacentral:rRNA from 1 species
AUAACAUCCGGAAACGGGUAGCUAAUACCGCAUAGUUUUACUUUGAUCGCAUGGAUUGGGAAAGGAAAGACGGCCUUUGUGCUGUCGCUUAUGGAUGGACCCGCGGCGUAUUAGUUAGUUGGUGAGGUAACGGCUCACCAAGACGAUGAUACGUAGCCGACCUGAGAGGGUGAUCGGCCACAUUGGGACUGAGACACGGCCCAAACUCCUACGGGAGGCAGCAGUAGGGAAUCUUCCGCAAUGGACGAAAGUCUGACGGAGCAACGCCGCGUGAGUGAAGAAAAGGUUUUCGGAUCGUAAAACUCUGUUGUCAGAGAAGAACAAGUUGGAGAGUAACUGCUCCAGCCUUGACGGUAUCUGACCAGAAAGCCACGGCUAACUACGUGCCAGCAGCGGC